rnacentral:ncRNA from 1 species
UGACCUCGGAUCAGGUAGGAAUACCCGCUGAACUUAAGCAUAUCAAUAAGCGGAGGAAAAGAAACCAACAGGGAUUCCCCUAGUAACGGCGAGUGAAGCGGGAACAGCUCAAAUUUGAAAUCUGGCCCUCGGGUCCGAGUUGUAAUUUGUAGAGGAUGCUUUUGGUGCGGUGCCUUCCGAGUUCCCUGGAACGGGACGCCUUAGAGGGUGAGAGCCCCGUACGGUUGGACGCCUAGCCUCUGUAAAGCUCCUUCGACGAGUCGAGUAGUUUGGGAAUGCUGCUCUAAAUGGGAGGUAUAUUUCUUCUAAAGCUAAAUACUGGCCAGAGACCGAUAGCGCACAAGUAGAGUGAUCGAAAGAUGAAAAGCACUUUGAAAAGAGGGUUAAAUAGCACGUGAAAUUGUUGAAAGGGAAGCGUUUAUCACCAGACUUUUUCUAGGGGGAUCAUCCGGUGUUCUCACCGGUGCACUUCCCCUAGUUGAGGCCAGCAUCGGUUUUCGGAGGGGGAUAAAAGUUUCGGGAAUGUGACUCCCCCGGGAGUGUUAUAGCCCGUUACAUAAUACCCUUCUGGGGACCGAGGUUCGCGCAUCUGCAAGGAUGCUGGCAUAAUGGUGAUCAACGACCCGUCUUGAAACACGGACCAAGGAGUCGAACAUUUAUGCGAGUGUUUGGGUGUCAAACCCUCACGCGUAAUGAAAGUGAACGGAGGUGAGAGCCCUUACGGGUGCAUCAUCGACCGAUCCUGAUGUCUUCGGAUGGAUUUGAGUAAGAGCAUAACUGUUCGGACCCGAAAGAUGGUGAACUAUGCGUGGAUAGGGUGAAGCCAGGAGAAAUCCUGGUGGAGGCUCGCAGCGGUUCUGACGUGCAAUCGAUCGUCAAAUCUGCGCAUGGGGGCGAAAGACUAAUCGAACCAUCUAGUAGCUGGUUACCGCCGAAGUUUCCCUCAGGAUAGCAGUGUUGUAUUCAGUUUUAUGAGGUAAAGCGAAUGAUUAGGGACUCGGGGGCGCUAUAUUGCCUUCAUCCAUUCUCAAACUUUAAAUAUGUAAGAAGCCCUUGUCGCUUAAUUGGACGUGGGCAUUCGAAUGUAUCAACACUAGUGGGCCAUUUUUGGUAAGCAGAACUGGCGAUGCGGGAUGAACCGAACGCGAGGUUAAGGUGCCGGAGUAGACGCUCAUCAGACACCACAAAAGGUGUUAGUACAUCUUGACAGCAGGACGGUGGCCAUGGAAGUCGGAAUCCGCUAAGGACUGUGUAACAACUCACCUGCCGAAUGUACUAGCCCUGAAAAUGGAUGGCGCUCAAGCGUCUCACCCAUACCUCGCCCUCAGGGUAGAAACGAUGCCCUGAGGAGUAGGCGGCCGUGGAGGUCAGUGACGAAGCCUAGGGCGUGAGCCCGGGUCGAACGGCCUCUAGUGCAGAUCUUGGUGGUAGUAGCAAAUACUUCAAUGAGAACUUGAAGGACCGAAGUGGGGAAAGGUUCCAUGUGAACAGCGGUUGGACAUGGGUUAGUCGAUCCUAAGCCAUAGGGAAGUUCCGUUUCAAAGGCGCACUUCGCGCCGUCUGGCGAAAGGGAAGCCGGUCAAUAUUCCGGCACCUGGAUGUGGGUUUUGCGCGGCAACGCAACUGAACGUGGAGACGACGGCGGGGGCCCCGGGCAGAGUUCUCUUUUCUUCUUAACGGUCUCUCACCCUGAAAUCGGUUUGUCCGGAGCUAGGGU